CAGUAGCCGCGGGAAUACGAAGGUCCCGAGCGUUGUUCGGUAUCACUGGGCGUAAAGGGAGCGUGGGCGGCGUGGUAAGUCAGAUGUGAAAUCCCGGGGCUCAACCCCGGAACUGCAUCCGAUACUGCCGUGCUAGAGGAUUGGAGAGGUAGCUGGAAUUCUUGGUGUAGCAGUGAAAUGCGUGGAGAUCAAGAGGAACACUCGUGGCAAAGCGAGCUACUGGACAAUAUCUGACGCUGAGGCUCGAAGGCCAGGGUAGCGAAAGGGAUUAGAUACCCCCGUAGUCCCUGUCUCUUAUACA
rnacentral:rRNA from 1 species